UACGUAGGGUGCAAGCGUUGUCCGGAAUUAUUGGGCGUAAAGGGCGCGUAGGCGGUCGUGUGCGUCGGAGGUGAAAUCCCCAGGCUUAACCUGGGAACUGCCUCCGAUACGGCAUGGCUUGAGUCCGGGAGAGGGGAGCAGAAUUCCCAGUGUAGCGGUGAAAUGCGUAGAUAUUGGGAGGAAUACCGGUGGCGAAGGCGGCUCCCUGGACCGGUACUGACGCUGAGGCGCGAAAGCCAGGGGAGCAAACGGG
rnacentral:rRNA from 1 species